rnacentral:rRNA from 1 species
UACGUAGGGUGCGAGCGUUAAUCGGAAUUACUGGGCGUAAAGCGUGCGCAGGCGGUUUUGUAAGCCAGAUGUGAAAGCCCCGGGCUCAACCUGGGAAUGGCAUUUGGGACUGCAAGGCUUGAGUGCGGCAGAGGAGACUGGAAUUCCUGGUGUAGCAGUGAAAUGCGUAGAUAUCAGGAGGAAUACCGAUGGCGAAGGCAGGUCUCUGGGCUGACACUGACGCUCAUGCACGAGAGCGUGGGGAGCAAACAGG